UCCCGGGUAGCUCAAAUGGUAAAGAAUCUGCCUACAAUGUGAAGGACGCAGGUUCAAUUCCUGCAUCGGGAA
rnacentral:tRNA from 1 species